rnacentral:lncRNA from 1 species
UAUAAUUGGAAUAUUUAAAUUUGGGUCAUAUCCUACCUAUCUUAGGAAACGAACAAAAGAAUUCUACAGAGUUGUUUUAUACCGCAAAUAAAUAAUACCCCCUUCUCUAUAUUCUUUCCUGUUUGCAUUGGGUGGGGAUAUUAUUAGAAGAUGAGGCUGGUUUGGCUUAAAAAAUCAAGUAUCACUAAAAUUGUGCUUCCAGAUCCAAAACAGAGCUCUCAGGCGCUCAACGUUCUGUGGACCUUGCUUCCUCCAGAGGUGGCUGGGGACAGGUGCACCGAUCCACCAUGAACCAGAUUCAGGGAAAAAAAAAACCCACUGUUAGUUCUGCUGUUUGUACAAGACUGCGUUUGAUGGACCGAAGUGUGGUAAGCUGCCAAAGGUCUUACUUCAGACAUCCUCAUUGCCGUGACAGAGCUGUCAGUCAUGAUGGCUGGUUUCCUUCUUCACACAGUUUGGCCAAGACUUGUGUAACAUGCCUGGGCACAGUGGUUCUCCAAAGGAAGAUGCACAGGGUCCAGGCUUAAUUGGGCACUUAUUGCAGACUAUCUCAGUUGGAGGUAAAAAGCUACUCUUUUUUUCCCCCUUAGUUCGAAAACAUUAAGCAUUUGUCUGGAGUUGCUAGGAGCUAUUUUCUCUGAUAUAUGGAGAAAAAUUCUCUGACGUAAAAUAGAAGGAUAUUAAAAUAGAUACAGUGGAAAUGAAGUGCAAAGAGGAGAGAAAGAAUGGAGUUGUUGGGGAUUCAUCUAUG